GCCUGAUUAAAGUAUAAGCAUGUUGAGAAUUACCUUGUGUCGUGGUAUAGGGUGAUAAAUUCCAAUUUGGAUAGCCUAAUAUCGUGGUAGUUAAUAUUAAUCGCAAGUGAAUAUGUGUGUAGUUGAAGGCUUUGACCUUCACAGUUGAGGUCUAUGAAGUUUAUGUGUGACAUUGUGUGUAAGAGUGUCCUCAACAAUUGAGGUUUAUGAACCUUAUGUGUGUAGUUGAAGUUUGACAUUCAUAAUUGAGGUUUAUAGACCUUAUGUGUAGUUAGAAGCUUUAACCGUUAUAAUUGAGAUGCAUAACUCUUGUGUGU